AACGUAGGACACAAGCGUUAUCCGGAGUUACUGGGCGUAAAGGGCGUGUAGGCGGAUCGGUAAGUCUACUCUGAAAGCUCCUGGCUAAACUGGGAGAGGCGAGUGGAGACUGUCGGUCUAGAGUGAGGAAGAGGAAAGUGGAAUUCCGAGUGUAGAGGUGAAAUUCGUAGAUAUUCGGAGGAACACCAGUGGCGAAGGCGGCUCACUGGUCCGGUACUGACGCUGAGGUGCGAAAGCGUGGGGAGCAAACAGG
rnacentral:rRNA from 1 species